CUGCCAACUUGAAGAGUCCCCAUCAUCUGCAUUCAUUUAACACCACAACAGCCAACCAACAUCAAUUACAAGGUCAAGCGCGAGAGUAAGAACUACACAAGGAGUUAGAGUACCUUAGCAAAACUUUGCUAUCAGGUUGAGCUGUGAUGGGCGAUGAAGUAUUGCUGAGUGAAGCUUUUGUCGAACUUAAAAUAGGCUCAGAAAUGAUACAUGUCUUCAUACAUGUAUCACAGUUAUGCUUUCCGCUGUAAACACUGAUUAUUUCAGUUACGCCUUCCGUUGCAAACUCUGAUAAUGUUUUAGCCAAGCCCCUAACGAUGCCUUUUUCCUUUUUAAGGAAUAUUUCACGCGUAUUCAAGCUCUUUGAGUAUUCUUUUAUGCACCCCUUUCUAAACCCGCUUCU